rnacentral:rRNA from 1 species
GAUAAACGCUGGCGGCGUGCAUGAGACAUGCAAGUCGAACGAACGAGCUUGCUCGUUAGUGGCGGACGGCUGAGUAACGCGUAGGUGACCUGCCCCGAAGUGGGGGAUAACUGCCCGAAAGGGUGGCUAAUACCGCAUGUGGCGACACGUUCAUUCGUGUCAUCAAAGCCGCGAGGCGCUUCGGGAGGGGCCUGCGUCCGAUUAGCUCGUUGGUGGGGUAAUGGCUCACCAAGGCGACGAUCGGUAGGUGGUCUGAGAGGACGAUCACCCAGACUGGGACUGAGACACGGCCCAGACUCCUACGGGAGGCAGCAGUCGGGAAUUUUGCUCAAUGGGCGAAAGCCUGAAGCAGCAACGCCGCGUGAGGGAUGAAGGCCUUCGGGUUGUAAACCUCUUUUCUCAGGGACGAUGAUGACGGUACCUGAGGAAUAAGUCACGGCUAACUACGUGCCAGCCGCCGCAGUAACAC